rnacentral:rRNA from 1 species
CCAGACUCCUACGGGAGGCAGCAGUGGGGAAUAUUGGACAAUGGGCGCAAGCCUGAUCCAGCAAUGCCGCGUGAGUGAAGAAGGUCUUCGGAUUGUAAAGCUCUUUCGACGGGGACGAUGAUGACGGUACCCGUAGAAGAAGCCCCGGCUAACUUCGUGCCAGCAGCCGCGGUAAUACGAAGGGGGCUAGCGUUGCUCGGAAUGACUGGGCGUAAAGGGCGCGUAGGCGGUUCGUACAGUCAGACGUGAAAUUCCCGGGCUCAACCUGGGGGCUGCGUUUGAUACGUGCGGGCUUGAGUUCGGAAGAGGGUCGUGGAAUUCCCAGUGUAGAGGUGAAAUUCGUAGAUAUUGGGAAGAACACCGGUGGCGAAGGCGGCGACCUGGUCCGAUACUGACGCUGAGGCUCGAAAGUGUGGGGAGCAAACAGGAUUAGAUACCCUGGUAGUCCAC